AGGAGAAGGAGGAAAGUCCUAGAUACCUCUGUGGCCUAUGUGCGUGGAGAGGAGAACCUGGCAGGCUGGAGACCCCGCGGUGACAGCCUCAUUCUAGAACAUCAGUGGGAACUGGAGAAAUUGGAGUUGCUGCAUGAGGUGGAAAAAACACGACAUUUCCUUCUGCUCCGUGAAAAACUUGGUGACAGCAUCCCCAAGUCCCUGAGUGAGUCGUUGUCUCCCAGUCUGAGCAGUGGAACCCUCAGCACCUCCACCAGCAUUUCCUCCCAGAUUUCCACCACCACUUUUGAGAGUGCUGUCACCCCCAGUGAAAGCAGUGGCUAUGACUCAGCUGAUAUAGAGAGCCUCGUGGAUCGGGAGAAAGAGCUGGCCACCAAGUGUCUGCAACUUCUUACUCACACUUUCAAUCGUGAGUUUAACCAGGUGUACAACAGCAUCAGUGAUUGUAAGCUGUCUGAUAUUUCUCCAAUUGGGCGAGACCCAUCAGUGUCCAGUUUCAGCAGUGCUACCCUCACUCCUUCAUCUACCUGUCCUUCUCUGGUGGAUUCAAGAUGCAAUUCAAUUGAU